rnacentral:rRNA from 1 species
CACGUAGGGGGCGAGCGUUGUCCGGAUUUAUUGGGCGUAAAGAGCUCGUAGGCGGCUUUGUCAGUCGGGUGUGAAACCUCCAGGCUUAACCUGGAGCCGCCACCCGAUACUGCAAUAGCUAGAGUCCGGUAGGGGAGCAUGGAACUCCUGGUGUAGCGGUGAAAUGCGCAGAUAUCAGGAAGAACACCAGUGGCGAAGGCGGUGCUCUGGGCCGGAACUGACGCUGAGGAGCGAAAGCGUGGGGAGCAAACAGG